rnacentral:rRNA from 1 species
GAUGAACGCUGGCGGCGUGCCUAAUACAUGCAAGUCGAGCGAACAGACGAGGAGCUUGCUCCUCUGACGUUAGCGGCGGAAGGGUGAGUAACACGUGGAUAACCUACCUAUAAGACUGGGAUAACUUCGGGAAACCGGAGCUAAUACCGGAUAAUAUAUUGAACCGCAUGGUUCAAUAGUUAAAGACGGUUUUGCUGUCACUUAUAGAUGGAUCCGCGCCGCAUUAGCUAGUUGGUAAGGUAACGGCUUACCAAGGUAACGAUGGGUAGCCGACCUGGGAGGGUGAUGGGCGAGACUGGAAAUGAGAGAAGGUACAGACGCCCAAGGGAGGCAGCAGUAGGGGAUCUGCCGGAAAGGGCGAAAGCCUGACGGAGCAACGCCGCGUGAGUGAUGAAGGUCUUCGGAGCGUAAAACUCGGUUAUUAGGGAAGAACAAAUGUGUAAGUAACUAUGCACGUCUUGACGGUAACUAAUCAAAAAGCCACGGCUAACUACGUG